UUACAACUCCCAAACCCCUGUGAACAUACCUAUACGUUGCCUCGGCGGAUCAGCCCGCGCCCUGUAAAACGGGACGGCCCGCCCGAGGACCCUAAACUCUGUUUUUAGUGGAACUUCUGAGUAAAACAAACAAAUAAAUCAAAACUUUCAACAACGGAUCUCUUGGUUCUGGCAUCGAUGAAGAACGCAGCAAAAUGCGAUAAGUAAUGUGAAUUGCAGAAUUCAGUGAAUCAUCGAAUCUUUGAACGCACAUUGCGCCCGCCAGUAUUCUGGCGGGCAUGCCUGUUCGAGCGUCAUUUCAACCCUCAAGCUCAGCUUGGUGUUGGGACUCGCGGUAACCCGCGUUCCCCAAAUCGAUUGGCGGUCACGUCGAGCUUCCAUAGCGUAGUAAUCAUACACCUCGUUACUGGUAAUCGUCGCGGCCACGCCGUAAAACCCCAACUUCUGAAUGUUGACCUCGGAUCAG
rnacentral:rRNA from 1 species